CUCAGAAACGAAAGUUAAACGAGAAUUAUUAAGUUUUCAUUUACUAAAGAUGGGGGUUUCCCAGGGUGUGGCACUCACGUUUGCAUUGUUAACAGGAAGAACAGGAGACAUGCUGGUUGAGAGAACCUAUGAGGAGAUUCUAAAGGCAUUCCAAAUUCACGGGAUUACGUUCGGGUAAAAUAAAUUGUCCCACGUGGGGUCAACCAACGAGAGUGGGACUUGCAGCGUCACUAGAACCAUGUUCUUUUGGUGAGGUGGACAUCGCAGAUGCUCGGUGAUGCACGCAAGCUGUGUAGAUAAAAUAAUUGAAGAACAUGGAUGUUUACAUUUAUUUUGCAGCGUUCGCGCACAAGGUGUGCAAUGUGGGAAAUGCAUGUAACUCGUUACUCUUCUUCAGUCUCCGUCAGAUUGACUGCAUGGCUCGCUCAAAUUCACAGAACUUGUCUCUUUUAUUUCUGUUGCAAAGCAGUGCUGUUUAGAUCUGCAAACACAAACCAGACAGAGAUUCUUUAUUUACCAGGUGGGGAAGUUCGAAAGAUUUCAGGGUUCCUGACCCUAUUACAGACAGAGUUGGGGAGUAACGGAUUACAAAAAAAAGAGUAACUCUAAUCCGUUACCAACUAAAAUAUUGUAAUCGGAUUACAAAUAAUUUUGAAUCAAUAUAUGAUUACUUUUGGAUUACUUCAAUGGAAAAAGAAUAGUUGAGAGAAAUAAUUAUGACAUGUUGCAUGUUUGAUUUUUUUAUAUAAUGUUUUAAAAACAUUGUUAUUUGAACAAAAAUAACAGUCGCACGCCUCGGUCCGUUGUUGAGUGUGAUCAUCAUGCGCGCAAAGGUGGGCACGCAUAACCAGAUUAGUGACGGAUGAAGCGCUAGUUUUAUUGGUAAAAACAGUGUAUCUACGAUAAUAUAAUCCUACCUGUAUAUAAUGUGAUUUAGUUAUCUACUCGACGCAUCUUUCUCAGAACAAUGAUGUUAUAUAUUCUUCAAGUUUCAAGGUCUAUUUGUCAAACGCACCGAGCAAAACAGCCAGGAAGAAUUUCGAAGAUUAGGCAACUAUUUGUUUGAUAGCUGUAACAUGGUGCUACCUUCAAGAUAAAACAUUAUAAGGAAUUUAUCACGACAUUUGAGGAGAAAAUUUGUUGGGAAGCACUUUGCCAAAGGAUGAUGAUUUGUAUUUGACACAGCUACCUCAACUCCGUCCAUACAGGUAGGCCAUGUGAUCCUGCUUUUGCAUUUCAGAAAAUUAUGGUUAUCAUUGAUUGCUGACCCCAUUUAAUUUAAGCUAAGAGUGCAGGUGUAUAAUCACAGUUUAUUUCUUUCAUUUGCGUUUUGACAAUCAAUGGCUGGUGGCCCUAAUAAUCACAGGUUACGUUCACACGGGUAAAAAUAAUUUGUGUUCACGAUGGCAAACAUGCAUUCGCGUGCCUGGGGCUUUUGCAAGGUUUUGACGUUUGUGGUUGUGGAGCCAAACAUCAGACUACUACACAUUUAGUGUAUGCAAGUGUAUGCAAAUUCCGUUUUUGGCCAGCUAUGUAAACUCCUAACAUUGAUUGAUCCCGCUAAAUGUGUUCAAUUGGUUAUAGGUUAUUCCUAUUCGUUUUCUAAUGCCUCUUAAUAUUCAAGUAAUCUAAAAGUAAUUCAAAGUAAUUGGAUUACGUUACUGGCUUUGAGUAAUCAAAAUGUUACGUUACUGAUUAUAAAUGUGGACAAGUAACUUGUAACUGUAAAGGAUUACAUUUAAAAAGUAACAUACCCAACCCUGAUUACUGACCACCCCAGAAAAGAGUGAAAAUUCCAGGAUCCAUUGACCCGGACCCGGAAAUAUGCAACACAAACCUAUGACCUUGCAGAUGGGUGUAUAUAUUGUGUGAGAAAGCGGUUUUUGAUUCUGCACUGAUAAUCUUACAGUCAACAAAAAGAAACCUAACAGAAAAAAAACA